AAUGUACUCCCUCCGAUCCAUAUUACUUCUCUUAGAUUUGUCUAGAUACGGAUGCAACAUCCGUAUCUAGACAAAUCUAAGACAAGUAAUAUGGAUCGGAGGGCGUAUCAG
rfam:Triticum aestivum genome assembly, contig: Triticum_aestivum_CS42_TGACv1_scaffold_030321_1BL